GUCUAGUGGCGCACGGGUGCGUAACGCGUGGGAAUCUGCCCUUGGGUUCGGGAUAACAGUUGGAAACGACUGCUAAUACCGGAUGAUGACUUCGGUCCAAAGAUUUAUCGCCCAGGGAUGAGCCCGCGUAGGAUUAGCUAGUUGGUGAGGUAAAGGCUCACCAAGGCGACGAUCCUUAGCUGGUCUGAGAGGAUGAUCAGCCACACUGGGACUGAGACACGGCCCAGACUCCUACGGGAGGCAGCAGUGGGGAAUAUUGGACAAUGGGCGAAAGCCUGAUCCAGCAAUGCCGCGUGAGUGAUGAAGGCCUUAGGGUUGUAAAGCUCUUUUACCCGGGAUGAUAAUGACAGUACCGGGAGAAUAAGCCCCGGCUAACUCCGUGCCAGCAGCCGCGGUAAUACGGAGGGGGCUAGCGUUGUUCGGAAUUACUGGGCGUAAAGCGCGCGUAGGCGGCUUUGUAAGUUAGAGGUGAAAGCCCGGAGCUCAACUCCGGAACUGCCUUUAAGA
rnacentral:rRNA from 1 species